GCGAGAAAACUUUGCAAUGUGCGAAAGCACGACAAGGUUAAUCCGAGUGGUUUCUGCUAAAGAAACCUUUUGUCAGUCCUAGAAACACUAACGAAUAAGGGGUGGGCAAGUUCUGGUGUCAGCCGCCGCGGUAAAACCAGCACCUCAAGUGGUCAGGAUGAUUAUUGGGCCUAAAGCAUCCGUAGCUCGUUUUGUAAGUUUUCGGUUAAAUCCAUGCGCUUAACGUAUGGGCUGCCGGGAAUACUGCAUAACUAGGAAGUGGGAGAGGUAGACGGUACUCGGUAGGAAGGGGUAAAAUCCUUUGAUCUAUUGAUGACCACCUGUGGCGAAGGCGGUCUACCAGAACACGUUCGACGGUGAGGGAUGAAAGCUGGGGGAGCAAACCGGAUUAGAUACCCUCGUAGUCC
rnacentral:rRNA from 1 species